rnacentral:rRNA from 1 species
CAUGUCUUUUUGAGAAUAAUUUAAAGUCUAACCUGCUCUAUGAUUAAUUAAAUGGCCGCGAUAUUCUGAUCGUGCGAAGGUAGCAUAAUCAUUAGUUUUUUUAUUGAAAUCUUGAAUGAAUGGUUGGACGAAAAAAUUACUCUCUCGACUUGUAAUUUGAAUUUAACUUUUAAGUUAAAAGGCUUAAAUUUUUAUAAAAGACGAGAAGACCCUAUAGAGUUUUACAAAUUUAAUUUGAUUAAAUUAAGGAAUUUUAUUUUAAUAAAGUUUGAAUUUGUUUGGUUGGGGUGAUUAAAAAAUUUAAUUAACUUUUUUUAAUAAAAUAAUAUUAAUUAAUAGAAUUUUGAAUAAUAAUUUAUGUUUAAAAGAUAAAUUACCUUAGGGAUAACAGCGUAAUUUUUUUGGAGAGUUCUUAUUGAUAAAAAAGAUUGCGACCUCGAUGUUGGAUUAAAGGUGUUAUUUAAUGAAGAAGUUAAAAAAACUAGUCUGUUCGACUAUUAAAUCUUUACAUGAUCUGAGU